AUUAUCACAUAUGCCAUUUUAUACAAUUUUGUUUAUUUUAUUUUUUUUCCACGAAGAAUAUAAAAGUACAUAAAAACAAAACAUGGCAAAAUUCUAUUUUUAAGAAAAACUGAGAUGUUAGCAUGGAGAAAUUUUAGACCUGUUCUGUGAAUUUUUUUUAUCUAAAUGGGAGGGGGGGACUGUCGUUAAGUGGUAAAAGGGAGGAUAUAUACAUUUUAGAGCAUGUGCUGCUAAUUUAUCAGCUGUACAUACAGAGACAGAUAUAAUAAAAUACAGUAAUCUUGUGUUCCAUCCCAGCUCUUGUUAGAAACCGCACAGGUUUAAUCACUACUUCUGGGCUAUCUCUGCUGAUGACAGAAGAUAAGACCUUUAUUGCACAACUAUCCCGUUCAGGAUAUAUAGACCACCUAGAUCACCUAGACCACUUCAUCUCUGGGCACAGUGUUCCUGUCACUUUAAUUUUGCAAUGUGAAACACUGUAGGUUUCUCAAAACCGCAAUGUUUACAUUGAAGAUUUAAGUCCACCUCUUGGGGC